UCAUGUGAAAUCCAUAGGUUAAGGUCUAAUGAAAUAAUUUCAAUUGAUUUCCUUAUAUGAACUGUAACUCAGUGAAAUCUUUGAAAUGGUUGCAUUUAUAUUUUUGUUCAGUAUAGUUAGACCAAGAGGAAUCUUACCAUGGGCUCUUGUAGUGACCGUAUUACUGCCACACCACUCUGCAACCGCAGUAAAAUUCCAUGUAACUGAGUCACGGGAAUCUCCUCUUAUGCACUCUGGACAUGCGUUGGUAGUACCCAACUCCCUAACAAUCAUCAGGUCGCUAAUGGCUUGGUACUCAGGACUCUCUUGUCCUUCUAAAGGUGUCCACAUGCUCCCCAACCGAAACAAUUUGGUUAUGAUGACAUUUUGUGACAUGUUACUAAAUUUUGGAGUUUGGUUAGGGUUUUUGUCCGCUGUUCGGGCACUAGUCAUUUUUUCUUCGUGAUCGGUCAACUGCAGGGGUGACGUGAGUUUUUGCUUCUUGUCGAUUCAGCCUAAUACUCAGUGUGGAUUCAACAUGGCGAACGACAACUUUGAGCAUCGAUUGACUGAGACGUUACAAAAGUACCUUUACCAGUACGAUUCUAGCCAUGCAUUAUACAAAGAGCAGAAUGUAAAUGCCAAUUCAUGGAGGGAGAUUGCAGAGAAGCUGGGGUCUGACCCAAGCACUUGUGAAAAGGCGGGGUAGGGUCUGCAACAAGUUCUUCAAAGAAACAAGGGCCGCAGUGGAGUUGCGGUUGGAAAGGCUAAUCCAGAAAUGUUGCUGCUGGCAUGGGAAGCAUGUAAGACUGAAAGCUACGUGCCUUCUUCACGAAGGGAUGGGACACAUACACCAGUGAAUGGAGACAGCACCUGGUUUUGUUCUCUGCGCCCCUGUACUGCCUGUUCACCAGCCCCAAGCACUACCUCUGCAGCCAGCCUAUCUUCCGCACUGAGUUGCAGUGCAGAAUUACAAACGAUCUCAAUGCAGGACCUGGGAAGCUCUAUCUUGGGCCCACCUCCAAGACCUACUCCACUGGCUUGCUCCUCAGUGACGCGAAAGAGCAGUAGCAGGGAUUUGGGGAGAAGGGAGACCUACUCCACUGGCUUGCUCCUCAGCGAUGCUACAGAGCAGCAGUGGUAGUAGCAGGGGUGUGAGAAGGGACAAAGGAGCUGCAGACUCGGUCCUAGACACAUCACUAUUAAAGGCAUUGCAAAUGUUUGAAGAUCUCAAGAUCUGGAGAACGUCAUGCGCCAAGCCCACCAGCUUGUCCCAGAGGGUCCUGGCAGCUACAGCUGAUUUCAUGGAUGAACUCUUGACCAAUCUCCGGGAGGAAUUUGAUCACCAGCUGCACGAGUUCGUGCAUGAUUUCAAGAAGAUGACAUGGACCGAACGACUGGGACCACAGUGAAAUUAACUUGUUCUAUUGUUUAGACAUCUCAGGAGUCACACUAGACACUUUCAUUUUAUUCCAUAGUUACGUUUAUUUACAUUUCUGUUCCUAACACACUGUUUUACUAUUGUUCAGAAAUAUUUAACUACACUCUGACACUUACAUUUUAUUCCAUAGAUACUUAUUUACAUGUCUGUUCUUAGCAGACACGUUGUUUACUUUCAGAAGCAAGAAUAAAGGUUUAUUUGUGUGCUGAAAAAGCUCUGUUGCCAUUUCCUCAUCUCAAUACAAUGUGUUUCAAUGCAUUCUAUUUCAACAUCAGGGGCUGACAAUGUACAGAAGAGCCGUGUGCCACAUAAUUUACAGGCUUUCUUCUACUUGUGGUGUAGCCCAAUCUAAUCUAAAUUACUGCACACUGAGAUGUCCCAGAAUCCGGUUUCAUUUUAUUAACCAGUUUACAAUUCUACUGGUUCACAGUGCGGACAAAAAACUGAGACUGCAUACAAGAAUCCUCCUCCUUGCAGCCAUGAUGCAGAAUGCAUUCUGACUCUCCGACAAUGAGUGGUGGUAGGUCCAGGUACGCCCAGGUUUAUUGAGAUGGACACCUGUGAAGAAGCGGUAACAGGAGAAUGUCAUACAUACAUACAGUACCAGUCAAAAGUUGUACAUUGUAGAAAAAUAGUGAAGAAAUGAAAACGAUGGAAUCAUGUAG